AUCCUUUCUUGGUUCAGAAGUGUGACGGAUAGGUUUUCACGCUAUUGUGUGAGAUGUGCCUCCUUCUAAACCUUGUUACGUCAGCACGUUACCAGUCUAAUG